rnacentral:lncRNA from 1 species
GCCAAUUAUCUCCCAUUCUACAUACAAAAGUAUAUAGAAACUAUAUAUUUUUGGAAUCAGUGUGAAAGAAGCUAUCAUAUGAGACCGGAUGUGACAUUAAUUUCACCGGAAGUAGCAUAUUAUCUCCCUUAUAUCACUCAAAAAUAUAAUUAAACCAUCAUUUAUCGCAUCAGUAUAAAGAAACUACCUUCUUAUCCAAAUUACUUUAGUUUGGAAAGACUUUCAAUUGUUCUCUGAACAAUUGGUUUUUAAUUAAGUCUUUCCACUUUUCUGUGGAAAGACUUAUUGUAUUUGUUCUGAUUAUUAUUAUUAUUAUUAUUAUUAUUUUUUUUUUUUUUUUUUCCGCCAACUUUUGUUCUUGCGAUAAAUGUUUGUUUCGCAAUAUGUCGCUUUGAUAUUUCUCAGAUUGUAUCGUAUAGUUUAUGCGCUUUUAAAUUUCACCCUGCUAAGCCGAACCAAUUUCUUUGUAAGAGUUAUCUCCCUAUUUACUGUUUAUCAUCAGAGUGUAUCUCCUUCGUACCAAAAAUAGAUAGCGACAAAAUUCUUUUUACAAAUUGUUCGUUACAUCCUCACUAAUUUUUGGCUCAUUUGGAUCGAAGCGAUUCGAUUAAAUUUUAUAGGAGUUAUCUACCUUUACGGAAUAAAUUUGUCGGUAUGUUUUUUUAACUCAUAAACCGUUGACCGUAUAACCCUGGAAUGUUUUUAUUUGAGUCCCCUGGAUCCUAACUUAGAAAAUUAGGUCAAGGUCAAAGGUCAAGGUCAUAUUUUAGAUUUUUAUAAGUUUUUCAUUUCCCUAUAAUUCUUGAACGGUUAUAGAUACAAAAAUAUUAAGCAGUGAAAAAUGCUUGGUACUUCAAGGGGCAACUUUUUUACAUUAUGACUAUAUUGAUUUUACCCAUCAUGUAAGGGACAUAACUCCCAUCGAUGGUUUUUAAAAAGCCAUUUUUAGGCAAAACUCUUUAACAAAAGGUCCUUGACCCAUAGGGUCUUUUGCAAUGACCUUGUGGAGCAAUGACCUUGACGAAAGUCACAAGGUCAAAGGUCAAGGUCAUCAAAUUAUGUGGUUUUGGCACUAUUUAAACAGUUUUAUGUGUGUUUGAAUUUCAACCAACCAACCAACCAACAACCAACCAAACAACCAACCAAUCAAUCAAUCAAUCAAUCAAUCAAUCAAUCAAUCAAUCCACGUUUCCGUUUC